rnacentral:rRNA from 1 species
GACGAACGCUGGCGGCGUGCUUAACACAUGCAAGUCGAGCGAUGAUGCUGGAGCUUGCUCCAGUUGAUUAGUGGCGAACGGGUGAGUAACACGUGAGCAAUCUGCCCUUGACUCUGGGAUAACUGCGGGAAACUGUAGCUAAUACCGGAUACUUUCACCGGAAGGCAUCUUCUGGUGAUGAAAGAAUUUCGGUCAGGGAUGAGCUCGCGGCCUAUCAGCUUGUUGGUGAGGUAACGGCUCACCAAGGCGACGACGGGUAACCGGCCUGAGAGGGUGACCGGUCACACUGGGACUGAGACACGGCCCAGACUCCUACGGGAGGCAGCAGUGGGGAAUAUUGCACAAUGGGCGCAAGCCUGAUGCAGCAACGCUGCGUGAGGGAUGAAGGCCUUCGGAUUGUAAACCUCUUUCAGCAGGGACGAAGCGAAAGUGACGGUACCUGCAGAAGAAGCACCGGCUAACUAUGUGCCAGCCGCCGCCGUAA